rnacentral:rRNA from 1 species
CAGUCGCCGCGGGAAUACGAAGGGUGCAAGCGUUAAUCGGAAUUACUGGGCGUAAAGCGCGCGUAGGUGGUUUGGUAAGAUGGAUGUGAAAUCCCCGGGCUCAACCUGGGAACUGCAUCCAUAACUGCCUGACUAGAGUACGGUAGAGGGUGGUGGAAUUUCCUGUGUAGCGGUGAAAUGCGUAGAUAUAGGAAGGAACACCAGUGGCGAAGGCGACCACCUGGACUGAUACUGACACUGAGGUGCGAAAGCGUGGGGAGCAAACAGGAUUAGAUACCCCAGUAGUCCCUGUCUCUUAUAA